CAGAGAAGGCAGAGGACGAGGCUCCCCGAGGAACAAGAGGAGAGGGGGCAGCAGAGGAGGUCCCAUCUAGGCAGGACACAAUGAGAGCUGCUGUUUCCUUGAGAGAAUUCUGACAGCAAGGCAUAGAAAUGCAAGCCAACACUGCUAGCUCUGGAGGAAAAAAAAAAAAAAAAUCCAUGCUCUAAACACCUCCACGGGGCUGAAGCCUGCCAGGGAAGAAGGCACACAGAGGAGGGACCCGCCGGCAACUUUUCCCCAGGUCCUGACAAUGAGACUGGAGCCCUGGAUAUUCAGAACCUCUAUCGAUUCUUGUCAGAAAUGAUACUGACGAAUUCCUUUCCUUAACAAAUCUUUUUCAAACAUAUGCAAUUAUUAAAAAUUGGGUUUUUUAAAAAAGGGAAACCAAAAUUGUGAAAGACAUAUUUUUUAAAAUAUUUAAGCUUUCCCAAAUAUCUUAGAACCAUCCCUUGUACAACUGUCACGUGAAUGAAACUCUUUAAAGUAGGUCGAAUAUAAGGACCUCCAUGGUGUGGGUAGUUUCAGUUGCCAUAUUAAUUAAUAAUAAUUAAUAUUAAGUAUAUAUUAAAUAAUAGUAACAAGAGUGACAGAGACCAUUUAUUAGACUUCUGAUACUGUGUUCAUGGCACUUUACAUGAAUCUAUCUCAUUGAAGCCUCCUAUUGAAUAAGUAUUAUUAUAGUCACUUUACAGAUGAGGAAACAGGCUCAGAGAGGUUAAGUAGCUUGCUCAGGGUCACAGAGCCAGAACGCACAGAUGGCCAAGCCAUGCUCUUCCUCCCUAUACCCCUCUGCCACCAAUAAUCUUGACGAUUACAUUGUCUAUCAUUCAGACCUUUCCCUGUCUUAAACCAACCUUGAUUUUUCCCAAACCCAGGAGUCUUUCUGAGGACCAUUCAUAGGAAAUCACCAUCCUCACUUCCCUGUCAUGUUGUAUCUGAGACAUUUAUGUUCAAAUACUGCUUGGUGAAAGAAAUAGGAAAGAACUAUAAUUUCUGCUUAUGCUUUUGAUGCUACCUUAACCGUUACUUAAGUUCUGAAUGCUUUUAAAUGGAACUUAAUUCUCAAGAGCAAGGGAAAUUUAAGGCUUCUGAUCAACUGUCUGACUACAGGACAGAAGCAGGGAAAAAUAAAUCUUGUUUUCAAUAACAUGUUGAGUGACAUUUUAUAUGGCCAUCAACCUGUUCUCCUAAGAAACUCAAGACUCUCCACAUGUGUUAUCUCAUUAAUCUUUAACCCACCCUGUGAUGGGCAGAUGGGGUUACACAACCACUACAGGAAUGAGGGAGAGAAGGGUAGUGAUUUCACCAACAUCACAGAGCACACCCAUGGCCAGUUAACACACCAUACCUCCCCAUCCUUCCUACUAACACCACCAGCCAAAGUCACAGGACACUGCUGUAUCAAUGUCCCUUGCCCUGUGCAAAACUCAGAGAAAGUUGUCUUUCUAUUCCCAUCCUAGAUUUUUUCCUCUCAUUUAUGCCUGGUCUGAAAUAUUUUGAUUUUACUGCAGCUGUUUGUUUUGUUUUGUUUUUUCCAGCCUUCCUUUCACUUCGUUUCCUCAUCUGUUCCAUGAAUUUCCUUCCUAGCAUCUUAAGUUAGAUGAUGUGGGAAAGUAAGAUGAGACUCAAAACAAUCAAGUAAUUACUUACUAAAAGUUUAUUGUUGGUUUUUUUAUGCAAAUUUUGAAGUGCACUUUUAUGUAAUCUUUUGACCACAUGAGGUUGGGCUUGACAAAAAGACAAAAUAAUUCACACUCAAAUGCUGGGGACAGUCUCACGGGAGGGUUAGCAGGGUCUUGGUUAUCUCACAUCAUUUCUUGGGAAAUCAAUUUCUUUUGUAUCCUUACAUGAAUUAAUCACCUUCUGGACCUCAGCUGGCUUAUGAAUGGUGGGUCCCUUAAAGCUGGCUCUUUCUAGUUCUUGGGACCAAAAAACUCAGUCUCUCUCAUCUGUGCAAACCUGAAACUCACACUUUGGAGAUCUUGAUGUGACAGAUUUAAACGGUUAAAAUGAACCUGUACUCAGCUCUAAGUUCUCUGGUUCACUGGAAGAGAUGAGACAUUUUAAUCUUCUCAAAGGCACAGCUACAUCUUCUCCUUGGCCCCUCUGCUUCUCCUCCCCACCAGUCCCUGUUUUUGAUGGACCACCACCCCCAAACUUGGGGGCGGAAGAUCAACCCCACAUUCUCACUCAUACUAAGCCUGCACUUGACUAUGGGGGACAAAUGUGUUUUCACAGCAGAAGCUGAUACAUAGCCCUUGGAUUGGAUUAAAUGAGUUAUUGGAUGAUUCCUGAGGUCAGCCAGAAAGAUUUUGACUUGGGUGCCUAGGACAUUUUCCUAUUUUCCUGAGAAAAAGUGUGAUUCAUAAGCCACCACUAUCACCAACACCUCAGAGGCAGAGCUGCAGAAGAAUAAAUGUUCACAGAGUAUAAAACCCAUAGACAUUUUCUUCCCUUGCUUCGCUCUGAACUCUCACCUUCCAAGCCUAUCUCCAUAGGUUGAUCCAAGACUGUUCCUCCAACCUGAUUAGUUUUUUUUUUAAAGGAUUACCAUUUACGUAUAUGUAAACCAAUUCAUUUCUACGACACUGAUCUGUAAAACCAGAUAAAAGUAAUGGCUAUUUCAUAGAGCAGAGAGGAUUCAAGGAAUUUGUCAAAGCACCAAAAAUCAUCCUUGUCAUGCCUGAAAGAAAUGUUGUUCUUAUUUUUAUUACUUUUAUUGUAUGUCAUUGACUGCCCUCGUCAGUGCUGUAAGUCCCAAACCUUCUUUGGGGCGUAGUUCUUCCCUUGGCUUCCUCCCUGCUUCCUGGUAGAAUAUCAGAUCCUCUGAAGCUGAAAACCCCAUCUCCCUCCAGCCAGGGGUGGCCUGUCCAGACCCCGGGUCGCUCCCCAACUGCCAGCGUCCCUCACUUCCCUGAGGCUCGGGCCUCACAGAUCGUAGGGCUGGUGAUGGGGAACGGGGAGCAGAAGCCGAACAAAAAGAUCCUUCCCACAAUGAACAAUGGUGCUUGGAAUGCUGCGUGGCAGCUACCGCCCAUCAACUGCUCCCAGGACAGACAUACAGCAGGACGCACAGGAGAGCCUGGCGUGUUCUAAGCCAGGGUAGUUCACUGCGCAUGUGCGGAGUAAUUCUCUGUCGAAUGCUCUCUCUCCUUUUUUCUUUUUCUUUUUUAAAUUUUUUUUUUAUUUUCCUUCAUGGGAUUCCAAACAUUAAAAAAGAAUCAUAUUGAGCUGUACAAAGCCAAGGCAAAUUAAUGAAUAGUAUUAAUAAUAAUAAAAGUUUUGAUGCAUUGUAACUGCACCAAAAUAA